AUGGCAAGAAAGUCGUCCAAGUUAAGCCCCUACUCAAAUAUGUUACUAAAUUUCGUUUUAUAUAGUAUUUUUUAUGAAUUCGCCUUCGCCUUUCCGUCAUAUCCCGAAUCCAGACAGUCAGAAAGUUUGGAGAAACCCACCUCAACACCAAACAAUCAACAGGUUCUAAGUCUGCAUUUAGGAGUUAUCGCGUCUGUUGUGAUCGUUAUUGUUGCUGCAGUAGCAGCUGCUGUAUUCAUCAUACGGAGUUACUGCUGUCUGCAGAGUAAUGUAACAUAUAGAUAUUCAGAGCUGCGACAAAUGGAAGCGGAAAAUGCAGCCAGAGAAGAGGACGAUGGUUCAGAUGAGGACCUUUUGGAGUGAAUCGUGCAGCACAAUUUAUCCCUGACGUUUCUCUUCCUUUUUUAAUCCUGUGAUAUUAUAUGGCCAAAAGCAUCACAUGGGUCAUUUAAAAACCACCAAGAGUCCCUGAAAUAUUUAUCUCUGUUCCACCAUUUUUCAGCACGGAUAUCUCCACCAACCAGUUAAAAUUAGCUGGUUAAAUCUGGCAGGAUUCAAAGGCUAAAAUCUCCUACGUGAAAGAGCUGUGGGGAAGCGGUUCAGAAAUACUAAAAGAUGCUCAUUGGAGAUAAAAGUUACUAUGAUUUAUUUGCAGGCAAAUAACUUAUGAAACUAGCUGUUAUGGUUGUCGGUUGUGGUGACCAUUGCUUAAAACUUGGUCAAUACUUGGAACUACUUUUUAAAGAAGAACUUGUUUAGUAUUUUCUUGAAUUUCUCAAUGCAAGGUACGUUGUACCAAAGUCGGUUGAAAUGAUUGUUCCUCUAUUUAUUGUGCCUGACCUUUUCUUUUAAAAAACAGCUUUAUGAUCUCAGGGUUGUUCCCACUGUAUACUGUGAGCAGUGCCACCAAUACCAGAAGCACAUCUGAAAUAGCAUUUGACUGUAAACAAGUCUUAUCCACUGUAAUGAUGCUGCAGACUUUGCAUUUCAGUUCCUUACUGAAAUCUGUUACUGUAUAAUUUAACUCUUGUGGUAUUUUGAACAAUAAUAUGCACUCAUAUGUCAGUAUUGAUAUUUAUAGUGGCAGUGUUUGAAUUUACCUCUAUUUUAAGAUGACAAUGUUGAUACAGAAUUAUUAUGUGCAGUGCAGAGCUACACAACAGUGUUUUUAUGAGCUCAGUCCGUGAUGGGAAGUAUUUUUGAUGGAUGCUAAUUGAAUUCUGUAUCUUUAGAUUUUCAAAUGUUUGCACCUUCUUUUCUGAGACUGAUCUACUGAUUACUUAAAAAAAAUAGUUAAUUUAACUGAGAAGGAAUAAAAUUAUGUACAUGAAUAUUCCUUGUAUGUUU
ensembl:lncRNA